GACGGAUCAUCGUCCUCUCAAUCGGACAAUAUCCUUUGGGACGGACCAACGUCCUCCCGAACGGUCAAAGUAAACAUUUGUACAGUUCUUUAGAACGAAUACGUUUAGUUCCCUGGAACGAACUUUAUAAAUUGGUUCUUUAUAUCUUCGGUAGUGAUAAGGUUGGUUCGGUUGUGGUAAGGUUGGUUCGGUAGUAAUAAGGUUGGUUCUUUAUAUUUUCGGUUGGUAUAAGGUUGGUUUGGUUGUGAUAAGGUUGGUUCUCUAUCUUUGGUUGUGAUAAGGUUGGUUCGGUUGGGAUAAGGUUGGUUCUCUGUAUUCGGUUGUGAUAAGGUUAGUUCUUUAUAUUCGGUUGGUAUAAGGUUAGUUCUCUAUAUUCGGUUGUGAUAAGGUUGAUUCUUUAUAUCUUCGGUUGUGAUAAGGUUGGUUCGGUUGGUAUAAGGUUGGUUCAGUUGGGAUAAGGUUGGUUCUCUAUAUUCGGUUGUGAUAAGGUUGGUUCUUUAUAUUCGG
rnacentral:lncRNA from 1 species